rnacentral:rRNA from 1 species
UACGUAGGUGGCAGGCGUUAUCCGGAUUUAUUGGGUGUAAAGGGCGUGUAGGCGGGAGCGCAAGUCAGAUGUGAAAACUCAGGGCUCAACCCUGAGCCUGCAUUUGAAACUGUGUUUCUUGAGUGCUGGAGAGGCAAUCGGAAUUCCGUGUGUAGCGGUGAAAUGCGUAGAUAUACGGAGGAACACCAGUGGCGAAGGCGGAUUGCUGGACAGUAACUGACGCUGAGGCGCGAAAGCGUGGGGAGCAAACAGG